CCCACACCUGCACCGAGAGAGAGAGAGAGAGAACAUGAAAACAUCAGGCCAAGAGAGAGAAUAUAAAGCUGCAAAAAAAACAGAAGGCCUCCAGACUGCAGUCUUUAACGGGUGGGGUGCUUUAAUUGUGGAGGUAAUGACAGUGGUGCAGCUGUGACGUCCUGCUGUGGGAGGCUGGUGCUGGUGCUGGGGCCUGCCUGUGCUUCAGCUAUGUUUCCCUGGGGGCCUGAUGUGCUGGAUGUGCCCACUGCAGACCUGAUAUUCCCUGCCAAGCCAAAGUAAAUAAAAGUCCAA